GCUGACGUAGCUCAAUCGGUAGAGCGCAUCCUUGGUAAGGAUGAGGUAGGCAGUUCAAUCCUGCUCGUCAGCUCCA
rnacentral:tRNA from 3 species